rnacentral:rRNA from 1 species
CGGGUGAGUAACACGUGGAUAACCUACCUAUAAGACUGGGAUAACUUCGGGAAACCGGAGCUAAUACCGGAUAAUAUAUUGAACCGCAUGGUUCAAUAGUGAAAGACGGUUUUGCUGUCACUUAUAGAUGGAUCCGCGCUGCAUUAGCUAGUUGGUAAGGUAACGGCUUACCAAGGCAACGAUGCGUAGCCGACCUGAGGAGGGUGAUCGGCCACACUGGAACUGAGACACGGUCCAGACUCCUACGGGAGGCAGCAGCC